UACAGAGGGUGCGAGCGUUGUCCGGAAUCACUGGGCGUAAAGGGCGCGUAGGUGGUGGCUUAAGCGUGCGGUGAAAGCUCGGGGCUCAACCCCGAGUCGGCCGUGCGAACUGGGCUCACUGGAGCAUAGUAGAGGCAGGUGGAAUUCCGGGUGUAGCGGUGGAAUGCGUAGAGAUCCGGAAGAACACCGGUGGCGAAGGCGGCCUGCUGGGCAGUUUGCUGACACUGAGGCGCGGACAGCGUGGGGAGCAAACAGG
rnacentral:rRNA from 1 species